AUAGUUCAAAUGGUAGAGCACCUGCCUAGUAAGCAGAAGGCCCUGAGUUCAAAUCCCAGU
rnacentral:tRNA from 1 species